rnacentral:rRNA from 1 species
AGUGAACGCUGGCGGUAGGCCUAACACAUGCAAGUCGAACGGCAGCACAGUAAGAGCUUGCUCUUACGGGUGGCGAGUGGCGGACGGGUGAGGAAUACAUCGGAAUCUACUUUUUCGUGGGGGAUAACGUGGGGAAACUUACGCUAAUACCGCAUACGACCUACGGGUGAAAGCAGGGGAUCUUCGGACCUUGCGCGAUUGAAUGAGCCGAUGUCGGAUUAGCUAGUUGGCGGGGUAAAGGCCCACCAAGGCGACGAUCCGUAGCUGGUCUGAGAGGAUGGUCAGCCACACUGGAACGGAGACACGGUCCAGACUCCUACGGGAGGCAGCAGUGGGGAAUAUUGGACAAUGGGCGCAAGCCUGAUCCAGCCAUACCGCGUGGGUGAAGAAGGCCUUCGGGUUGUAAAGCCCUUUUGUUGGGAAAGAAAAGCAGCAGGUUAAUACCCCGCUGUUCUGACGGUACCCAAAGAAUAAGCACCGGCUAACUUCGUG